CUACGGGUCGCAGCAGUGAGGAAUAUUGCACAAUGGGGGGAACCCUGAUGCAGCAACACCGCGUGGAGGAUGACGCAUUUCGGUGUGUAAACUCCUUUUAUAUGUCAAGAAAAUGACGGUAGCAUAUGAAUAAGCACCGGCUAACUCCGUGCCAGCAGCCGCGGUAAUACGGAGGGUGCAAGCGUUACUCGGAAUCACUGGGCGUAAAGGACGCGUAGGCGGGUUGGAAAGUCAGGUGUGAAAUCCUACAGCUUAACUGUAGAACUGCACUUGAAACUUCUAAUCUAGAGUAUGGAGGGGGAGAUGGAAUUAGUGGUGUAGGGGUAAAAUCCGUAGAUAUCACUAGGAAUACCUAAAGCGAAGGCGAUCUCCUGGAACAUUACUGACGCUAAGGCGUGAAAGCGUGGGGAGCAAACAGGAUUAGAUACCCGCGUAGUC
rnacentral:rRNA from 1 species